rnacentral:rRNA from 1 species
AUUGAACGCUGGCGGCAGGCCUAACACAUGCAAGUCGAGCGGAUGAAGGGAGCUUGCUCCUGGAUUCAGCGGCGGACGGGUGAGUAAUGCCUAGGAAUCUGCCUGGUAGUGGGGGAUAACGUCCGGAAACGGGCGCUAAUACCGCAUACGUCCUGAGGGAGAAAGUGGGGGAUCUUCGGACCUCACGCUAUCAGAUGAGCCUAGGUCGGAUUAGCUAGUUGGUGGGGUAAAGGCCUACCAAGGCGACGAUCCGUAACUGGUCUGAGAGGAUGAUCAGUCACACUGGAACUGAGACACGGUCCAGACUCCUACGGGAGGCAGCAGUGGGGAAUAUUGGACAAAGGGCGAAAGCCUGAUCCAGCCAUGCCGCGUGUGUGAAGAAGGUCUUCGGAUUGUAAAGCACUUUAAGUUGGGAGGAAGGGCAGUAAGUUGAUACCUUGCUGUUUUGACGUUACCAACAGAAUAAGCACCGGCUAACUUCGUG